UAACACUAUAAAUUAACUCUUUGUUUACUCAAUUUAACUUCAGCUUUUUUGGAGGACGAGACUAGGUUUUUUCCUACUCUUUUCUGCUCCUUUCUUCAUGCUGUCGUAAGGAAUAGUAGCUCCAAGAGUGAUACGUUUUAUCCAGCCAGACAUGGAAGCUUUAGCCAGGCUCAAUCAAACCUCUGCAAUCCUUUCUUGGAGGACUCCCACCAGCCUCAGUGACUAGUGACCUCUCCUGUAAACUACCAAACGAGGUGACUCCACCAGUUGAGGCAGUUAUUGUUGUUCUCUCCUUCAUCUGGUCUCUACUCUUGUCCUCUUCCUAUGACUGAUGGAGGAGCUAGACUAAUUAAAGUAAUGAAGUUAAAAGAUACAAUGGCUACUACUUAUAAUAGACUCACUUCAAGGGAUCCUAGCAGCUUCUGGACAUCAGGACAAUGGAUGAGAGAGAGAGAGGCGGUGGAUCUGAUGUUGCUAGAAGGACUGCUUCUUAUGCCCUCCUGGAAAAUGGUGACAGGUAUUGUCUCCAUGGCUAUAAGUUGUUCAGUUCAGCCAGUGACAGCCACUGAUGCUGAUAUGGCAUUAGCAUUAGCUGAUGUACAAGAGGAAUCUGGUCAAGUGACUGAUGAGCAGCUUGAUAUUAGUAACCUACCUCAAUGGAAGCCACUCCUCUACACUAUAGCAUUCCUUUACACUACAGUAGAGGAGAGGAGGAAGUAUGGACCACUGGGUUGGAAUAUACCCUAUGAGUUCAACCAGGGAGACUUUAAUGCCAGUACACACAAUACAUACAGAACCUACAUGUACUUGAUGACAUGGACUUGAAGAAGGGUCCAUCAUGGAGUGCUGUACGGUACAUGAUUGGUGAGAUACAGUAUGGAGGAAGAGUCACUGAUGAUUAUGACAAGCACUUACUGAACACUUAUGCUUAACUUUGGUUUGGUGAGCAUAUGUUCCAGCAAAAGUUUAGAUUUUGUAAUUGUAAAGUGUUUCCAAUCCCAGUGUUCAAGACAGUCCAGGAUUACAUCAGUUACAUUGAUUCCCUUCCCAUGGUCAUCACUCCUGAAGUCUUUGGAAUGCAUCCUAAUGCUGACAUCACGUGAGUUUAUGCUAGCAAUACUUCAUGACAA